UGGGGAAUUUUCCGCAAUGGGCGAAAGCCUGACGGAGCAAGACCGCGUGAGGGAAGAAGGCUCUUGGGUUGUAAACCUCUUUUCUCUGGGAAGAACGCAAUGACGGUACCAGAGGAAUCAGCAUCGGCUAACUCCGUGCCAGCAGCCGCGGUAAGACGGAGGAUGCAAGCGUUAUCCGGAAUGAUUGGGCGUAAAGCGUCCGCAGGUGGCAGUUCAAGUCUGCUGUCAAAGACUGGGGCUUAACUCCGGACAGGCAGUGGAAACUGAACAGCUAGAGUAUGGUAGGGGCAGAGGGAAUUCCCAGUGUAGCGGUGAAAUGCGUAGAGAUUGGGAAGAACAUCGGUGGCGAAAGCGCUCUGCUGGACCAAAACUGACACUCAGGGACGAAAGCUAGGGGAGC
rnacentral:rRNA from 1 species